rnacentral:misc_RNA from 1 species
AAAGUCGUAACAAGGUUUCCGUAGGUGAACCUGCGGAAGGAUCAUUAAAAGAGAUUUUUAAUUACUUUUUUACUUUUCUUUUACGGGCUUACCGGGCACAGCCCGGUAACUGCGUAAAGGAAAGCAAACAAUUUAUUCAACAAUAACAAAGAAAUAAUGAAAUAUUACAUGAGCACCUUGCUGCAAUGGAUCUCUCGGCUCUU